rnacentral:rRNA from 1 species
AAACCUCCGCAAUGCGAGCAAUCGCGACGGGGGGACCCCAAGUGCCACUCUUAACGGGGUGGCUUUUCUGAAGUGUAAAAAGCUUUAGGAAUAAGGGCUGGGCAAGACCGGUGCCAGCCGCCGCGGUAACACCGGCAGCUCAAGUGGUGGCCAUUAUUAUUGGGCCUAAAGCGUUCGUAGCCGGUUUGAUAAGUCUCUGGUGAAAUCCCGCAGCUUAACUGUGGGACUUGCUGGAGAUACUAUUAGACUUGAGGUCGGGAGAGGUUAGGGGUACUCCCAGGGUAGGGGUGAAAUCCUAUAAUCCUGGGAGGACCACCUGUGGCGAAGGCGCCUAACUGGAACGAACCUGACGGUGAGUAACGAAAGCCAGGGGCGCGA